GGACUAACGCUGGCGGCGUGCCUAACACAUGCAAGUCGAACGAUUCUUUGAUUUAUAGCAAUAUUAUUAAAGAGGAGUGGCGAACGGGUGAGUAACACGUAGAUAAUCUGCCUUUCAGACGGGGACAACUCAGGGAAACUUGUGCUAAUACCCGAUGAGACCACAAGAAGGGAUUUUUUGUGGCCAAAGGCGGGCAGCAAUGCUCGUGCUGAAAGAUGAGUCUGCGUCCUAUCAGCUAGUUGGUGGGGUAAAUGCCUACCAAGGCUAAGACGGGUAGCCGGCCUGAGAGGGUGAACGGCCACACUGGGACUGAGACACGGCCCAGACUCCUACGGGAGGCAGCAGUGAGGAAUUUUCCGCAAUGGGCGCAAGCCUGACGGAGCGACGCCGCGUGAGGGAUGACAGCUUUCGGGUUGUAAACCUCUUUUAUUAAGGAAAAAGAUCUAUAUGCUAAUAUCAUGUAGAUUUGAUGGUACUUAUUGAAUAAGCCCCGGCUAACUACGUGCCAGCCGCGGC
rnacentral:rRNA from 1 species